rnacentral:lncRNA from 1 species
AAAACACAUCGAAAACCACAGCAACCCUGCUCAGUAGCUACGAAGUCACUUACCACUGCUUAACAUCUCUGAAGUCGACCUAGGUCAUCGGAAGAAGUAAAGAACGCCAGAAAGCCUUGUCGGCAUCACCGCAGCAGCUCGCCGGAAAACUCAAAAUCGAUAGUAAAGGGGUUAUUAAGAUUUGUAAAAGAUUCGAGGGAUUAAGGGCACUAGGGUGCAGAGAAUGAAGGGAAAAGUUUGAAUAUGCCAGUUCUAGGCCAAGUCGUCGACGGAGACGGCGGAAACAGAAGACACAAUCAGAGCUUCUCGCGGUCGAUUUGUCUUUGAAUCAGUAUGUGCAAUUCACGGGCUGUGUUAUGUAGAGGGGAAAGAGAGAAGAAAUUUGAUGGUGGUUUUGUGGAGAAUGGAGGCCAGAGUCGGCCGGGCGGUGUCGGAGAAGACGGCCAGGGACGGAGAGCUGCUUAGCUCUUGUCGUACGCGAGAGAGGAGUGCUUGACCCGAUUUGGGUCAGUUGACCUUGGUUGGGUUUUCAAAGAAGGAAUCAACGGUCAGGAUUAAAAGAGAACGAGAUCAAAAUGGUCUGCCUGUUUACGAAGACUAACAUACCUGUUUUGUGAACAUGGUGUAUAAGCUGUUCAAAUCAUUGUCUCACACUAUGAGUAGAGCAACUCUAAAGAGUCCAGAAUUCACACACACUUGAAGAAUUCUUGAGAGGUCUACCUGUUUACGAAGUCUAGUAUGCUUAUUUACGAGUACGGGUCUACUUUUUUUGUGAGACAAAAUGGUCUACUUGUUUACGAACACAUACCUACCUGUUUUGUAAACAUGGUCUACCAGGUUUCUGAAUCAUUGACUCAUGCUACGUGUAGACCAACUCUAAAAAGUAUAGAAUUCACACAUACACUUGAAGAAUUUUUGAGAGGUCUACCUGUUUACCAAGCCUGGUCUACUUAUUUACGAGAAAUUGUCUAUUUUUUUGUUGAGAUAAAAUGGUCUAUCUGUUUACGAACACAAACCUACCUGUUUUGUAAACAUGGUCUACCAGGUUUUCGAAUCAUUGUCUCAUACUACAUGUAGACCAACUCUAAAGAGUCCAGAAUUCACACACACUUGAAGAAUUCUUGAGCGGUCUACCUGUUUACGAAGUCUGGUCUGCUUAUUU